AAGUCGUAACAAGGUUUCCGUAGGUGAACCUGCGGAAGGAUCAUUAAAGAUUCCGAGGCUCCGGCCUUGACUUUUUCAUUCAGCUGUGCGCUUCGGCUGCACGCUGGACGAUAAUCUCACACCUGUGCACCUUUUCGGUUGCGGUUUUGGCCGCUUCCGCUUUUACAUGCAACUACCGCAGUCCAGAAUGUGAUCUAAACUAUAAAGUAACAACUUUCAACAACGGAUCUCUUGGCUCUC
rnacentral:misc_RNA from 1 species